UACGUAGGGGGCAAGCGUUGUCCGGAUUUACUGGGCGUAAAGAGCGUGUAGGCGGCCAGACCGGUCCGUUGUGAAAACUGGAGGCUCAACCUUCAGACGUCGACGGAAACCGUUUGGCUAGAGUCCGGAAGAGGAGAGUGGAAUUCCUGGUGUAGCGGUGAAAUGCGCAGAUAUCAGGAAGAACACCGAUGGCGAAGGCAGCUCUCUGGGACGGUACUGACGCUGAGACGCGAAAACGUGGGGAGCGAACAGG
rnacentral:rRNA from 1 species